GGGUUGUGAGGUUAAGCGACUAAGCGUACACGGUGGAUGCCCUGGCAGUCAGAGGCGAUGAAGGGCGUACUAAUCUGCGAUAAGCGCCGGUAAGGUGAUAUGAACCGUUAUAACCGGCGAUACCCGAAUGGGGAAACCCAGUGUGAUUCGUCACACUAUCAUUAACUGAAUCCAUAGGUUAAUGAGGCGAACCGGGGGAACUGAAACAUCUAAGUACCCCGAGGAAAAGAAAUCAACCGAGAUUCCCCCAGUAGCGGCGAGCGAACGGGGAGGAGCCCAGAGCCUGAAUCAGCAUGUGUGUUAGUGGAAGCGUCUGGAAAGGCGCGCGAUACAGGGUGACAGCCCCGUACACAAAAGCGCAUGUGCUGUGAGCUCGAUGAGUAGGGCGGGACACGUGGUAUCCUGUCUGAAUAUGGGGGGACCAUCCUCCAAGGCUAAAUACUCCUGACUGACCGAUAGUGAACCAGUACCGUGAGGGAAAGGCGAAAAGAACCCCGGCGAGGGGAGUGAAAAAGAACCUGAAACCGUGUACGUACAAGCAGUGGGAGCACCCUUUGGGUGUGACUGCGUACCUUUUGUAUAAUGGGUCAGCGACUUAUAUUCUGUAGCAAGGUUAACCGAAUAGGGGAGCCGGAGGGAAACCGAGUCUUAAUUGGGCGUUAAGUUGCAGGGUAUAGACCCGAAACCCGGUGAUCUAGCCAUGGGCAGGUUGAAGGUUGGGUAACACUAACUGGAGGACCGAACCGACUAAUGUUGAAAAAUUAGCGGAUGACCUGUGGCUGGGGGUGAAAGGCCAAUCAAACCGGGAGAUAGCUGGUUCUCCCCGAAAGCUAUUUAGGUAGCGCCUCGUGAAUUCAUCUCCGGGGGUAGAGCACUGUUUCGGCUAGGGGGCCAUCCCGGCUUACCAACCCGAUGCAAACUGCGAAUACCGGAGAAUGUUAUCACGGGAGACACACGGCGGGUGCUAACGUCCGUCGUGAAGAGGGAAACAACCCAGACCGCCAGCUAAGGUCCCAAAGUCAUGGUUAAGUGGGAAACGAUGUGGGAAGGCCCAGACAGCCAGGAUGUUGGCUUAGAAGCAGCCAUCAUUUAAAGAAAGCGUAAUAGCUCACUGGUCGAGUCGGCCUGCGCGGAAGAUGUAACGGGGCUAAACCAUGCACCGAAGCUGCGGCAGCGACGCUUAUGCGUUGUUGGGUAGGGGAGCGUUCUGUAAGCCUGCGAAGGUGGCCUGUGAGGGUUGCUGGAGGUAUCAGAAGUGCGAAUGCUGACAUAAGUAACGAUAAAGCGGGUGAAAAGCCCGCUCGCCGGAAGACCAAGGGUUCCUGUCCAACGUUAAUCGGGGCAGGGUGAGUCGACCCCUAAGGCGAGGCCGAAAGGCGUAGUCGAUGGGAAACGGGUUAAUAUUCCCGUACUUGGUGUUACUGCGAAGGGGGGACGGAGAAGGCUAUGUUGGCCGGGCGACGGUUGUCCCGGUUUAAGCGUGUAGGUGUGUGUUCCAGGUAAAUCCGGUUCACUUUAACACUGAGGCGUGACGACGAGGCACUACGGUGCUGAAGCAACAAAUGCCCUGCUUCCAGGAAAAGCCUCUAAGCAUCAGGUAACAUCAAAUCGUACCCCAAACCGACACAGGUGGUCAGGUAGAGAAUACCAAGGCGCUUGAGAGAACUCGGGUGAAGGAACUAGGCAAAAUGGUGCCGUAACUUCGGGAGAAGGCACGCUGACACGUAGGUGAAGUGAUUUACUCAUGGAGCUGAAGUCAGUCGAAGAUACCAGCUGGCUGCAACUGUUUAUUAAAAACACAGCACUGUGCAAACACGAAAGUGGACGUAUACGGUGUGACGCCUGCCCGGUGCCGGAAGGUUAAUUGAUGGGGUCAGCGCAAGCGAAGCUCCUGAUCGAAGCCCCGGUAAACGGCGGCCGUAACUAUAACGGUCCUAAGGUAGCGAAAUUCCUUGUCGGGUAAGUUCCGACCUGCACGAAUGGCGUAAUGAUGGCCAGGCUGUCUCCACCCGAGACUCAGUGAAAUUGAACUCGCUGUGAAGAUGCAGUGUACCCGCGGCAAGACGGAAAGACCCCGUGAACCUUUACUAUAGCUUGACACUGAACAUUGAGCCUUGAUGUGUAGGAUAGGUGGGAGGCUUUGAAGUGUGGACGCCAGUCUGCAUGGAGCCGACCUUGAAAUACCACCCUUUAAUGUUUGAUGUUCUAACGUGGACCCGUUACCCGGGUUGCGGACAGUGUCUGGUGGGUAGUUUGACUGGGGCGGUCUCCUCCUAAAGAGUAACGGAGGAGCACGAAGGUUGGCUAAUCCUGGUCGGACAUCAGGAGGUUAGUGCAAUGGCAUAAGCCAGCUUGACUGCGAGCGUGACGGCGCGAGCAGGUGCGAAAGCAGGUCAUAGUGAUCCGGUGGUUCUGAAUGGAAGGGCCAUCGCUCAACGGAUAAAAGGUACUCCGGGGAUAACAGGCUGAUACCGCCCAAGAGUUCAUAUCGACGGCGGUGUUUGGCACCUCGAUGUCGGCUCAUCACAUCUGGGGCUGAAGUAGGUCCCAAGGGUAUGGCUGUUCGCCAUUUAAAGUGGUACGCGAGCUGGGUUUAGAACGUCGUGAGACAGUUCGGUCCCUAUCUGCCGUGGGCGCUGGAGAACUGAGGGGGGCUGCUCCUAGUACGAGAGGACCGGAGUGGACGCAUCACUGGUGUUCGGGUUGUCAUGCCAAUGGCACUGCCCGGUAGCUAAAUGCGGAAGAGAUAAGUGCUGAAAGCAUCUAAGCACGAAACUUGCCCCGAGAUGAGUUCUCCCUGAGACUUAAGGUCUCCUGAAGGAACGUUGAAGACGACGACGUUGAUAGGCCGGGUGUGUAAGCGCAGCGAUGCGUUGAGCUAACCGGUACUAAUGAACCGUGAGGCUUAACCUUACAACGCCGAAG
rnacentral:rRNA from 1 species